UGGGGAAUUUUGGACAAUGGGCGAAAGCCUGAUCCAGCAAUGCCGCGUGUGUGAAGAAGGCCUUCGGGUUGUAAAGCACUUUUGUCCGGAAAGAAAUCCUUGGCUCUAAUACAGUCGGGGGAUGACGGUACCGGAAGAAUAAGCACCGGCUAACUACGUGCCAGCAGCCACGGUAAUACGUAGGGUGCAAGCGUUAAUCGGAAUUACUGGGCGUAAAGCGUGCGCAGGCGGUUUGCUAAGACCGAUGUGAAAUCCCCGGGCUCAACCUGGGAACUGCAUUGGUGACUGGCAGGCUAGAGUAUGGCAGAGGGGGGUAAAUUCCACGUGUAGCAGUGAAAUGCGUAGAGAUGUGGAGGAAUACCGAUGGCGAAGGCAGCCCCCUGGGCCAAGUACUGACGCUCAUGCACGAAAGCGUGGGGGAGCAAACNGGAUUAAUNCCCUGGUAGUCCACGCCCUAAANGAUGUCAACUAGUUGUUGGGGGAUUCAUUUUCCUUAGUAACGUAGCUAACGCGUGAAG
rnacentral:rRNA from 1 species